rnacentral:rRNA from 1 species
GGAGCACGCCGCGUGAGUGAAGAAGGGUUUCGGCUCGUAAAACUCUGUUGUUAAAGAAGAACAUAUCUGAGAGUAACUGUUCAGGUAUUGACGGUAUUUAACCAGAAAGCCACGGCUAACUACGUGCCAGCAGCCGCGGUAAUACGUAGGUGGCAAGCGUUGUCCGGAUUUAUUGGGCGUAAAGCGAGCGCAGGCGGUUUUUUAAGUCUGAUGUGAAAGCCUUCGGCUCAACCGAAGAAGUGCAUCGGAAACUGGGAAACUUGAGUGCAGAAGAGGACAGUGGAACUCCAUGUGUAGCGGUGAAAUA